GCUCGAGUGGUGGAAUGGUAGACACAAGGGACUUAAAAUCCCUUGGGAGUAAUCCCGUGCUGGUUCGAGUCCAGUUUCGAGCACCA
rnacentral:tRNA from 5 species